rnacentral:sRNA from 1 species
UUCCCGCAGUUGGCGCAGGUGAGGGGU